CCCUUAGAUGUCCUGGGCUGCACGCGCGCUACACUGAUGUGUCCAGUAAGCACCUAACCUCUUCCGAAAGGAACGGGUAACCUUUGCAAAGCACAUCGUGAUGGGGAUAGAUUAUUGCAAUUAUUAGUCUUGAACGAGGAAUUCCUAGUAAGCACAAGUCAUCAGCUUGUGUUGAUUACGUCCCUGCCCUUUGUACACACCGCCCGUCGCUCCUACCGAUUGAAUGUUCCGGUGAGGCUUUGGGAGAAUGGCCUCAACAUGAGUUUAUCGUGUUUUGCCGUUUGAACUUAGUCAAACCUUAUCACUUAGAGGAAGGAGAAGUCGUAACA
rnacentral:rRNA from 1 species